CGGAGUAUAGCAUAUAAAAAUGCUUUUUACUUACACUAAAAAUAAAGUUAAAUAACUUGCUUCGC
rnacentral:tRNA from 1 species